rfam:Picea glauca, whole genome shotgun sequence.
CUCAUGGAGAGUUUGAUCCUGGCUUAGGAUGAACUCUGGCGGCAUGCUUAACACAUGCAAGUCGGACGGGAAGUGGUGUUUCCAGUGGAAGACGGGUGAGUAACGUGUAAGAACCUGCCCUUGGGAGGGGAACAAUAGUUGGAAAUGGCUGCUAAUACCCCAUAUACUGAGGAGAAAAAGGAGGAAUCCAGCCAAGGAGGGGCUCGCAUUUGAUUAGUUAGUUGGUGAGGCAAUGGCUUACCAAGGCGACGAUUAGUAGCUGGUCCGAGAGGAUGAUCAGCUACACUGGGACUGAGACACGUCCUAGACUCCUACAAGAGGCAGCAGUGGGGAAUUUUUCGCAAUGGGCGAAAGCCUGACGGAGCAAUGCCACAUGAAGGAAGAAGGCCCACGGGUCAUGAACUUGUUUUCUCAGAGAAGAAACAAUGACGGUAUCUGAGGAAUAAGCAUUGGCUAACUCUGUGCCAGCAGCUGCGGUAAGACAGAGGAUGCAAGCGUUAUCCGGAAUGAUUGGGCGUAAAGCGUCUGUAGGUGGAUUUUCAAGUCUGUCGUCAAAUCCCAGGGCUCAACCCUGGAUAGGCGGUGGAAAAUACCAAGAUGGAGUAUGGUAGGGGCAGAGGGAAUUUCCGGUGGAGCAGUGAAAUGCGUUGAGAUCGGAAAGAACACCAACGGCGAAAGCACUCUGCUGGGCUCACACUGACACUGAGAGACGAAAGCUAGGGGAGAAAAUGGGAUUAGAUACCCCAGUAGUCCUAGCCGUAAAUGAUGGAUACUAAGUAUUGUGCGUAUCGACCCGCGCAGUGCUGUAGCUAACGCGUUAAGUAUCCCGCCU